rnacentral:rRNA from 1 species
UACGUAGGGGGCAAGCGUUGUCCGGAUUUAUUGGGCGUAAAGAGCGUGUAGGCGGCCGUACAGGUCAGCUGUGAAAACUCGAGGCUCAACCUCGAGACGUCGGUUGAAACCGUACGGCUAGAGUCCGGAAGAGGAGAGUGGAAUUCCCGGUGUAGUGGUGAAAUACGUAGAGAUUGGGAAGAACACCAGUGGCGAAGGCGGCUAUCUGGACGGUUUCUGACGCUAAGACGCGAAAGCGUGGGGAGCAAACAGG